ACGGGUGAGUAAAACGUAGGGACUUACCUUGGAGAGGGGGAUAACCCGGGGAAACUCGGGCUAACACCGCAUAAAGUCGAGAGACCAAAGUGGGGGAUCGAAAGACCUCACGCUCUGAGAGAGACUUACGUCGGAUUAGCUAGUUGGUUAGGUAAAGGCUGACCAAGGCGAUGAUCCGUAGCUGGUCUGAGAGGACGAUCAGCCACACUGGGACUGAGACACGGCCCAGACUCCUACGGGAGGCAGCAGUGGGGAAUUUUGGACAAUGGGGGCAACCCUGAUCCAGCGAUGCCGCGUGAGUGAAGAAGGCCUGCGGGUUGUAAAGCUCUUUCGGCGGGGAGGAAGGCGCAUAAGCGAAUACCUUAUGUGAUUGACGUUACCCGCAUAAGAAGCACCGGCUAACUCUGUGCCAGCAGCCGCGGUAAUACAGAGGGUGCAAGCGUUAAUCGGAAUUACUGGGCGUAAAGGGCGUGUAGGUGGAUUUGUAAGUUUGAUGUGAAAGCCCCGGGCUUAACCUGGGAACGGCGUUGAAGACUGCAAGACUAGAGUUGGAAAGAGGGUAGUGGAAUUUCCGGUG
rnacentral:rRNA from 1 species